rnacentral:rRNA from 1 species
ACUCAAAUGAAUUGACGGGGGCCCGCACAAGCGGUGGAGCAUGUGGUUUAAUUCGAAGCAACGCGAAGAACCUUACCAGGUCUUGACAUCCCUUGACAGCCACAGAGAUGUGGUCUCUCUUCGGAGCAAGGAGACAGGUGGUGCAUGGUUGUCGUCAGCUCGUGUCGUGAGAUGUUGGGUUAAGUCCCGCAACGAGCGCAACCCUUGCCUUUAGUUGCCAGCAUUAAGUUGGGCACUCUAAAGGGACUGCCGGUGACAAAUCGGAGGAAGGUGGGGAUGACGUCAAAUCAUCAUGCCCCUUAUGACCUGGGCUACACACGUGCUACAAUGGUCUGUACAGAGGGCAGCGAAGCAGUGAUGCGGAGCGAAUCCCAGAAAGCAGAUCUCAGUUCGGAUUGCAGGCUGCAACUCGCCUGCAUGAAGUCGGAAUCGCUAGUAAUCGCAGGUCAGCAUACUGCGGUGAAUACGUUCCCGGGCCUUGUACACACCGCCCGU